rnacentral:rRNA from 1 species
ACAAGCGGUGGAGCAUGUGGUUAAUUCGAAGCAACGCGAAGAACCUUACCAGGUCUUGACAUCCCUGACAACCAAGAGAUUGGGCGUUCCCCUCGGGGGACAGGGUGACAGGUGGUGCAUGGUUGUCGUCAGCUCGUGUCGUGAGAUGUUGGGUUAAGUCCCGCAACGAGCGCAACCCUCGCCUCUAGUUGCCAGCAUUCGGUUGGGCACUCUAGAGGGACUGCCGGCGACAAGUCGGAGGAAGUGGGGAUGACGUCAAAUCAUCAUGCCCCUUAUGACCUGGGCUACACACGUGCUACAAUGGGCGGUACAAAGGGCUGCGAACCCGCGAGGGGGAGCGAAUCCCAAAAAGCCGCUCUCAGUUCGGAUUGCAGGCUGCAACUCGCCUGCAUGAAGCCGGAAUCGCUAGUAAUCGCGGAUCAGCAUGCCGCGGUGAAUACGUUCCCGGGCCUU